rnacentral:tRNA from 1 species
GCCGAAGUGGUGGAAUUGGUAGACACGCUGUCUUGAGGGGGCAGUGGGCGAAAGCCCGUGACGGUUCGAGUCCGUCCUUCGGCA